UCUGCACCUUGGGUAUGGCUGUUGCAUUUCUUAGGUUGGUCCGUGAAAAUGGCGGGUGUGACAUAACUUUGGGUAAUUCAUCAAACGGUUAGGCCUAGAAGUGUGGUUUAGCUUGCUCGAGGACGUGGAAAGGUUUAAGUGUGGGGUGUUGAUAAUAUGUGAAUUUGACUAUACUCAGGCCCUAAAUAACCACCUUCUUGUAUUGUUUUGAUAUUAAAAGUGUUAGAAAAAAUGCUCUUCUGGGUUCUUUUUUGUGUUUUCAGGCUAUAUGCGACUAGGAAAGCGAGAAGUACUUUUGGAGUCGUGAAAAUGAAGAAAAAAGGCCAACCAUGCAAACUCCCAACCAAAUCACGUUGAAACAUGCCAAGAAUUUUGAAGCAGC
rnacentral:lncRNA from 1 species